UGAAGGAACCGGAAAUCAGUACAGCCUCGUGCUUCGUAACGUCAAGAUGUAUAAGUCCGCAUGUCUUCUCCUUCUACUUGUCAGUUGUUUGCAACUGGAGAAAGUGUCUGGUCGUCAUUCGCCGAAAGCAGGCGCCGACAGACACCCCCAAAGACAGCCGACUCAGAGACUCCACUCGGAAAGCUU
rnacentral:lncRNA from 1 species